rnacentral:rRNA from 1 species
UAAGUACCCCGAGGAAAAGAAAUCAACCGAGAUUCCCCCAGUAGCGGCGAGCGAACGGGGAGGAGCCCAGAGCCUGAAUCAGCAUGUGUGUUAGUGGAAGCGUCUGGAAAGGCGCGCGAUACAGGGUGACAGCCCCGUACACAAAAGCGCAUGUGCUGUGAGCUCGAUGAGUAGGGCGGGACACGUGGUAUCCUGUCUGAAUAUGGGGGGACCAUCCUCCAAGGCUAAAUACUCCUGACUGACCGAUAGUGAACCAGUACCGUGAGGG